rnacentral:rRNA from 1 species
UAUUUAAUUAUAAAAUAUAUUUUUAUUUCUAAAUUUUUAAAAAAAAUAAUUUUUUUUUGAGUAUAAUUUUGAAAAGAAUAAUUUUUUAUAUAUAUAGUACUGUAAAGGAAAUAACUAAUUUAAGUGAAAUUAAUUAAUUUUAGUGUACCUUUUGUAUCAGGGUUUACUAAUUUUUAUAAUUUAUUAUUAUUUUCUCGAAAUUUUAAGAUAUAUUUCAAUAUGAUAAUUCAUAUUAUAAUAUGUUUAUAAAUAUUGAAAUAGUGAAUAUAUUUUAUUCAAUUAAAAAUAUCUAGUUUUUUAAUAAAUGAAUUUAAUUCAUAAAUAAAUAAAUUUUGAAUUUAAUUUUUAUUUAUUUAAAUUCAAAAUAGGAUAAGCUUUUUUGAUUUUUUAGAAAAAAUAUUUUAAAUAUUUAUAGUAGGAUUAAUAAUAUCCAUCUAAUAUUUUGUAAAAAUUAUUUUUAUAAUUUUUAUUAUUUAAUUAUUUUUAAAUUUUUAUUAAAAUUAAAAAUUAAAUUUUUAAUUUUUUGAAAAAAUGGUAAUAUUAGUAUAUUUAUAAUAUAAAUUAUAGUAAUUCGGCAAAUAUAGUUUUCACCUGUUUAACAAAAACAUGGUUUUUUGUUUAUAUAAAAAAUUUGGCCUGCCCAAUGAUUAUUUUAAUGGCUGCAGUAUUUUGACUGUACAAAGGUAGCAUAAUCAUUUGUCUUUUAAUUGAAGUCUGGUAUGAAUGGUUGGAUGAAAAAUUUACUUUCUUUAUUUUAAAAAUAAAAUUUGAUUUUUAGAUCAAAAAGUCUAGAUUUAUUUAUAGGACGAGAAGACCCUAUAGAGCUUUACUUUCUGUUUAUAAAUAAUUUAUUUGUAAAUAAUUUUUUAUUAUUUUUGUGGAAGUUUUGUUGGGGUGAUAAAAAAAAUUUUUAAACUUUUUUUACUUUUUUCAUUUAUAUAUGGAUUUUUGAUCCUUUAUUAAGGAGUAUAAGAUUAAGUUACCUUAGGGAUAACAGCGUUAUUGUUUUGGAGAGUUCAUAUCGAUAAAAUAGUUUGCGACCUCGAUGUUGGAUUAAAAUUAGUGUCAGGGGUAGAAUAUUGACAACUAGGUCUGUUCGACCUUUAAAUUUUUACAUGAUCUGAGUUCAGACCGGCGUGAGCCAGGUCGGUUUCUAUCCUUAAUUUACUGUAAGAACUUAGUACGAAAGGACCAGUUUUUGGGAAUAUUUUUUUACAUUGACUUAUAUU